GAACUGAAGAGUUUGAUCAUGGCUCAGAUUGAACGCUGGCGGCAGGCCUAACACAUGCAAGUCGAGCGGAUGAAGGGAGCUUGCUCCUGGAUUCAGCGGCGGACGGGUGAGUAAUGCCUAGGAAUCUGCCUGGUAGUGGGGGAUAACGUCCGGAAACGGGCGCUAAUACCGCAUACGUCCUGAGGGAGAAAGUGGGGGAUCUUCGGACCUCACGCUAUCAGAUGAGCCUAGGUCGGAUUAGCUAGUUGGUGGGGUAAAGGCCUACCAAGGCGACGAUCCGUAACUGGUCUGAGAGGAUGAUCAGUCACACUGGAACUGAGACACGGUCCAGACUCCUACGGGAGGCAGCAGUGGGGAAUAUUGGACAAUGGGCGAAAGCCUGAUCCAGCCAUGCCGCGUGUGUGAAGAAGGUCUUCGGAUUGUAAAGCACUUUAAGUUGGGAGGAAGGGCAGUAAGUUAAUACCUUGCUGUUUUGACGUUACCAACAGAAUAAGCACCGGCUAACUUCGUGCCAGCAGCCGCGGUAAUACGAAGGGUGCAAGCGUUAAUCGGAAUUACUGGGCGUAAAGCGCGCGUAGGUGGUUCAGCAAGUUGGAUGUGAAAUCCCCGGGCUCAACCUGGGAACUGCAUCCAAAACUACUGAGCUAGAGUACGG
rnacentral:rRNA from 1 species